rnacentral:rRNA from 1 species
CCCCGGUAAACGGCGGCCGUAACUAUAACGGUCCUAAGGUAGCGAAAUUCCUUGUCGGGUAAGUUCCGACCUGCACGAAUGGCGUAAUGAUGGCCAGGCUGUCUCCACCCGAGACUCAGUGAAAUUGAACUCGCUGUGAAGAUGCAGUGUACCCGCGGCAAGACGGAAAGACCCCGUGAACCUUUACUAUAGCUUGACACUGAACAUUGAGCCUUGAUGUGUAGGAUAGGUGGGAGGCUUUGAAGUGUGGACGCCAGUCUGCAUGGAGCCGACCUUGAAAUACCACCCUUUAAUGUUUGAUGUUCUAACGUGGACCCGUAAUCCGGGUUGCGGACAGUGUCUGGUGGGUAGUUUGACUGGGGCGGUCUCCUCCUAAAGAGUAACGGAGGAGCACGAAGGUUGGCUAAUCCUGGUCGGACAUCAGGAGGUUAGUGCAAUGGCAUAAGCCAGCUUGACUGCGAGCGUGACGGCGCGAGCAGGUGCGAAAGCAGGUCAUAGUGAUCCGGUGGUUCUGAAUGGAAGGGCCAUCGCUCAACGGAUAAAAGGUACUCCGGGGAUAACAGGCUGAUACCGCCCAAGAGUUCAUAUCGACGGCGGUGUUUGGCACCUCGAUGUCGGCUCAUCACAUCCUGGGGCUGAAGUAGGUCCCAAGGGUAUGGCUGUUCGCCAUUUAAAGUGGUACGCGAGCUGGGUUUAGAACGUCGUGAGACAGUUCGGUCCCUAUCUGCCGUGGGCGCUGGAGAACUGAGGGGGGCUGCUCCUAGUACGAGAGGACCGGAGUGGACGCAUCACUGGUGUUCGGGUUGUCAUGCCAAUGGCACUGCCCGGUAGCUAAAUGCGGAAGAGAUAAGUGCUGAAAGCAUCUAAGCACGAAACUUGCCCCGAGAUG